GACGAACGCUGGCGGCGUGCCUAAUACAUGCAAGUAGAACGCUGAAGAGAGGAGCUUGCUCUUCUUGGAUGAGUUGCGAACGGGUGAGUAACGCGUAGGUAACCUGCCUGGUAGCGGGGGAUAACUAUUGGAAACGAUAGCUAAUACCGCAUAAAAUUGAUUAUUGCAUGUUAAUUAAUUGAAAGAUGCAACUGCAUCACUACCAGAUGGACCUGCGUUGUAUUAGCUAGUUGGUGAGGUAACGGCUCACCAAGGCGACGAUACAUAGCCGACCUGAGAGGGUGAUCGGCCACACUGGGACUGAGACACGGCCCAGACUCCUACGGGAGGCAGCAGUAGGGAAUCUUCGGCAAUGGGGGGAACCCUGACCGAGCAACGCCGCGUGAGUGAAGAAGGUUUUCGGAUCGUAAAGCUCUGUUGUAAGAGAAGAACGGGUGUGAGAGUGGAAAGUUCACACUGUGACGGUAUCUUACCAGAAAGGGACGGCUAACUACGUG
rnacentral:rRNA from 1 species